CGCUAUUCCUCUGCAACACGGCAGUCUCCUUGGACCUGCAGAGCAACCCUGUGGGGGAUGAAGGAGUUAAAAUACUUGCGGCGUGCCUGAAGAGUAAAAGUUGCUGCCUAGAAAAACUGAGCUUAUCAAGUGCUGAUCUCACAGAAGACUGUGUCCCUGCCAUCACCUCUCUGUUUUCCCAGAAGAACACUCUGAUUUGUCUUGACCUGAGCUUUAAUAACCUCAGAGAUGGUGGAGUGAAAGCCUUGUGCUCUGCCCUGAAAGAUAAGGAGAGCCGUCUUGAGAAGCUAAUCCUUGAAGACAAUGGCAUCACUAACAACUGUGAGCAGGAACUCAUCCAACUCAUUGAAAACACCCUGUCUCUGAAAUACCUGUGUUUGGAUGAUAAUAAGUUUACAUCCACCUCCAGAGCCCGCAUCUAUGGUGUAUGGGACAAGUAUCAUGAUGAUGAGGAGGAGGUGGAGGAAGACUGACUGUGAAUCGCAG
rnacentral:lncRNA from 1 species